GGUAGCCGGGUUGAGAGACCGACCGGCCAGAUUGGGACUGAGACACGGCCCAGACUCCUACGGGAGGCAGCAGUGGGGAAUCUUGCGCAAUGGGGGGAACCCUGACGCAGCGACGCCGCGUGCGGGACGGAGGCCUUCGGGUCGUAAACCGCUUUCAGCAGGGAAGAGUCAAGACUGUACCUGCAGAAGAAGCCCCGGCUAACUACGUGCCAGCAGCCGCGGUAAUACGUAGGGGGCGAGCGUUAUCCGGAUUCAUUGGGCGUAAAGCGCGCGUAGGCGGCCCGGCAGGCCGGGGGUCGAAGCGGGGGGCUCAACCCCCCGAAGCCCCCGGAACCUCCGCGGCUUGGGUCCGGUAGGGGAGGGUGGAACACCCGGUGUAGCGGUGGAAUGCGCAGAUAUCGGGUGGAACACCGGUGGCGAAGGCGGCCCUCUGGGCCGAGACCGACGCUGAGGCGCGAAAGCUGGGGGAGCGAACAGGAUUAGAUACCCUGGUAGUCCCAGCCGUAAACGAUGGACGCUAGGUGUGGGGGGACGAUCCCCCCGUGCCGCAGCCAACGCAUUAAGCGUCCCGCCUGGGGAGUACGGCCGCAAGGCUAAAACUCAAAGAAAUUGACGGGGGCCCGCACAAGCAGCGGAGCAUGUGGCUUAAUUCGAAGCAACGCGAAGAACCUUACCAGGGCUUGACAUAUGGGUGAAGCGGGGGAGACCCCGUGGCCGAGAGGAGCCCAUACAGGUGGUGCAUGGCUGUCGUCAGCUCGUGUCGUGAGAUGUUGGGUUAAGUCCCGCAACGAGCGCAACCCCCGCCGCGUGUUGCCAUCGGGUGAUGCCGGGAACCCACGCGGGACCGCCGCCGUCAAGGCGGAGGAGGGCGGGGACGACGUCAAGUCAUCAUGCCCCUUAUGCCCUGGGCUGCACACGUGCUACAAUGGCCGGUACAGAGGGAUGCCACCCCGCGAGGGGGAGCGGAUCCCGGAAAGCCGGCCCCAGUUCGGAUUGGGGGCUGCAACCCGCCCCCAUGAAGUCGGAGUUGCUAGUAAUCGCGGAUCAGCAUGCCGCGGUGAAUGCGUUCCCGGGCCUUGCACA
rnacentral:rRNA from 1 species